UACGUAGGGGGCAAGCGUUGUCCGGAAUCAUUGGGCGUAAAGCGCGUGUAGGCGGCGCGGUAAGUCGGGUGUGAAAUCUCGGGGCUUAACUCCGAAACUGCAUUCGAUACUGCCGUGCUUGAGGACUGGAGAGGAGACUGGAAUUUACGGUGUAGCGGUGAAAUGCGUAGAUAUCGUAAGGAAGACCAGUGGCGAAGGCGGGUCUCUGGACAGUUCCUGACGCUGAGGCACGAAGGCCAGGGGAGCAAACGGG
rnacentral:rRNA from 1 species